rnacentral:ncRNA from 1 species
UACAAUUUAAAUGCAAAAGGUGCCUGUGUUUCUCCGCAGGAUAAUAGGGAAAAGGGUGAAAGUCCCUUACGGUCCCGCCGCUGUGUUGGUAUAGUUGUAUCUUAAUUUUAUGUCACUGGGAAACUGGGAAGACAAGAUAUAAUGUUUGAAGCCAGAGUCAGAAUACCUGCCUUUUGCAUACGAAGAUA